UACGUAGGCAGCGAGCGUUGUUCGGAGUUACUGGGCGUAAAGGGUGCGUAGGCGGUUGUUUAAGGUUGGGGUGAAAUCUCCCGGCUCAACUGGGAGGGUGCGCCGAAUACUGAAUGACUAGAGUGCGGGAGAGGAUAGUGGAAUUCCUGGUGUAGCGGUGAAAUGCGUAGAUAUCAGGAGGAACACCGGUGGUGUAGACGGCUAUCUGGACCGUAACUGACGCUGAGGCACGAAAGCGUGGGUAGCAAACAGG
rnacentral:rRNA from 1 species